rnacentral:rRNA from 1 species
UACGUAGGGUGCGAGCGUUAAUCGGAAUUACUGGGCGUAAAGUGUGCGCAGGUGGCCGCGCAAGUCGAGUGUGAAAUCCCCGAGCUUAACUUGGGAAUUGCGCUCGAAACUACGUGGCUCGAGUGUGGCAGAGGAAGGUGGAAUUCCACGUGUAGCGGUGAAAUGCGCAGAUAUCAGGAGGAACACCCAUAGCGAAGGCAGCUCGCUGGGACGGUACUGACGCUGAGGUGCGAAAGCGUGGGGAGCAAACAGG